UGCCUGAAAGAUCACUGAAAGUCAAAAGUUGAAAGCCAAUAGUGUAUAGACCCGAAACACGUGAAGAGCUAAAUAACCAAAAAGGGACCUAUAAUAAUAGUCAAAUUAAUAUUUUGGAAGUUGGCACAUGAGUUACUUGACAGUCACAUAAUUCAAAAAAGAUUACCAAUUAUACUCCUGGUCAAUGUAAGUGACUAGUUUGCAGUAUAUACGCAAAGUAAAUUUCUAAAUGGAAAGUCCCUUAUCAAAUGGCAA
rnacentral:lncRNA from 1 species